rnacentral:rRNA from 1 species
CAAUAGCGUAUAUUAAAGUUGUUGCAGUUAGAACGCUCGUAGUCGGAUUUCGGGGCGUUCCGACCGGUCUGCCGAUGGGUAUGCACUGGCCGGAGUGUCCUUUUUGCCGGAGACCGUGCCUACUCUUAACUGAGCGGGGGCGGGAGACGGCACUUUUACUUUGAAAAAAUCAGAGUGUUUCAAGCAGGCAGCUCGCUCUUGCAUGGAUUAGCAUGGGAUAAUGAAAUAGGACUUUGGUGCUAUUUUGUUGGUUUCGAACACCGAAGUAAUGAUGAGAAGGGACAGUCAGGGGCACUCGUAUUCCGCAGAGAGAGGUGAAAUUCUCAGACCCGCGGAAGACGAACCACUGCGAANGNAUUUGCNAGGGAUGUUUNCAUUA